GGCUCAGAUUGAACGCUGGCGGAAUGCUUUACACAUGCAAGUCGAACGGCAGCACGGACUUCGGUCUGGUGGCGAGUGGCGAACGGGUGAGUAAUAUAUCGGAACGUGCCCAGUCGUGGGGGAUAACGUAGCGAAAGUUACGCUAAUACCGCAUACGAUCUACGGAUGAAAGCGGGGGAUCGCAAGAGCCUCGCGCGAUUGGAGCGGCCGAUAUCAGAUUAGGUAGUUGGUGGGGUAAAGGCUCACCAAGCCAACGAUCUGUAGCUGGUCUGAGAGGACGACCAGCCACACUGGAACUGAGACACGGUCCAGACUCCUACGGGAGGCAGCAGUGGGGAAUUUUGGACAAUGGACGCAAGUCUGAUCCAGCCAUUCCGCGUGCAGGAUGAAGGCCCUCGGGUUGUAAACUGCUUUUGUACGGAACGAAAAGGUUUCUAUUAAUACUAGGAGCUCAUGACGGUACCGUAAGAAUAAGCACCGGCUAACUACGUG
rnacentral:rRNA from 1 species